rnacentral:rRNA from 1 species
UACGGAGGAUGCGAGCGUUGUCCGGAUUUAUUGGGCGUAAAGCGAGUGCAGGCGGUUUCUUAAGUCUGAUGUGAAAGCCCCCGGCUCAACCGGGGAGGGUCAUUGGAGACUGGGAAACUUGAGUGCAGAAGAGGAGAGUGGAAUUCCAUGUGUAGCGGUGAAACGCGUAGAUAUAUGGAGGAACACCAGUGGCGAAGGCGGCUCUCUGGUCUGUAACUGACGCUGAGGCUCGAAAGCGUGGGGAGCAAACAGGAUUAGAUACCCUGGUAGUCCACGCCGUAAACGAUGAGUGCUAAGUGUUGGAGGGUUUCCGCCCUUCAGUGCUGCAGCUAACGCAUUAAGCACUCCGCCUGGGGAGUACGACCGCAAGGUUGAA